rnacentral:rRNA from 1 species
UGGGCUCGAUAGACUGCUAGUCAGCGCUCUCAGCCAAUGUGAGAGUGCGGCGCACAGCUCAGUAACACGUGGCUAACCUGCCCUUAGGACGGGGACACCCCCGGGAAACUGGGGUUAAUCCCCGAUAGGUGAAGAACUCUGGAAUGAGUCUUUGCCCAAAAGACGCUUACACUAUGCUUGUGGGCGCCGCCUAAGGAUGGGGCCGCGACCGAUCAGGUUGUUGGUGAGGCAAAGGCUCACCAAGCCUUUUACCGGUGCGGGCCGUGGGAGCGGGAGCCCGGAGAUGGGCACUGAGACAAGGGCCCAGGCCCUACGGGGCGCAGCAGUCGCGAAAACUUUGCAAUACACGAAAGUGUGACAGGGCUAUCCCGAGUGCCAUCCGCUGAGGAAGGCUUUUACCCAGUGUAGAAAGCUGGGAGAAUAAGGAGAGGGCAAGACUGGUGUCAGCCGCCGCGGUAAUACCAGCUCUCCGAGUGGUGUGGAUGUUUAUUGGGCCUAAAGCAUCCGUAGCUGGCUGGGCAAGUCCCCUGUUAAAUCCACCGAUUCAAUCGUUGGUGUGCGGGGGAUACUGUUCGGCUAGGGGACGGGAGAGGCCGACGGUAUUUUCGGGGUAGGGGUGAAAUCCUAUAAUCCCGGGAAGACCACCAGUGGCGAAGGCUGUCGGCUAGAACGCGCCCAACGGUGAGGGAUGAAAGCUGGGGGAGCGAACCGGAUUAGAUACCCGGGUAGUCCCAGCUGUAAACGAUGCACGCUAGGUGUUUGGGCGGCCACGUGCCGCUCUAGUGCCGCAAAGAAGUUGUUAAGCCUGCCGCCUGGGGAGUACGGCCGCAAGGCUGAAACUUAAAGGAAUUGGCGGGGGAGCACCACAAGGGUGAAGCUUGCGGUUUAAUUGGAGUCAACGCCCGGG